UACGAAGGGGGCUAGCGUUGUUCGGAAUUACUGGGCGUAAAGCGCGCGCAGGCGGCUUCUCAAGUCAGGGGUGAAAGCCCAGAGCUCAACUCUGGAAUUGCCUUUGAAACUGUGAAGCUUGAGUACGGGAGAGGUGAGUGGAAUUCCCAGUGUAGAGGUGAAAUUCGUAGAUAUUGGGAAGAACACCGGUGGCGAAGGCGGCUCACUGGCCCGUUACUGACGCUCAGGCGCGACAGCGUGGGGAUCAAACAGG
rnacentral:rRNA from 1 species